GUGCCAGCAGCCGCGGUAAUUCCAGCUCCAAUAGCGUAUAUUAAAGUUGUUGUGGUUAAAAAGCUCGUAGUUGAACCUUGGGCCUGGCUGGCCGGUCCGCCUCACCGCGUGCACUGGUCCGGCCGGGCCUUUCCCUCUGUGGAACCCCAUACCCUUCACUGGGCGUGGCGGGGAAACAGGACAUUUACUUUGAAAAAAUUAGAGUGCUCCAGGCUUCCUAUGCUCGAAUACAUAAUCUUACAUUAAUAAAGGGUCCGAGCAAUUCUAUUUUGCGGUUUAACAUGGCCGCAUUAGGGAGUUGGGGGAAGAGGGGGGCAAGAGUAUCCAGCGGAUGAUUUAUAGCAUGGGCUCGGGGUGUCUUGAAUGCGGGAAUGGUUGCAGGGGGGAGAGGAAUGAGCGGGCUAGGGCGGGGGCUCGGCAGUCGACGUAAUUCGUGUAUAUUAUGACUUGAUACUAAGAAUAGACGGUAUAUCUAACGAACUACAAAUGCUACAAAGAGAGACAUGUGCGAGAAGACAGAGAACAGUUCGAGACUGUGUAUAUCUUCCGACACUGAUGAGAGUACUACCAUACGAGCGGCAGCUCAUCACAGUAAUACGUCCAGCAACUUAACGCUGAAUGAGAUCAGCAGAAUUAAUGGAUCGUUCACUGUGACGCAUGAUCGACACUACGCUGCACCGACGAUAUCAUGUAAAGUAGAAGUACUUAGAAUUUAUCCAGAACGCAUCAACCCAAGGUUAGGCCUGAUGAGAUGUAUAUGAGAUU
rnacentral:rRNA from 1 species